UACGUAGGGUGCAAGCGUUUAAUCGGAAUUACUGGGCGUAAAGCGUGCGCAGGCGGUUCUAUAAGACAGAUGUGAAAUCCCCGGGCUCAACCUGGGAACUGCAUUUGUGACUGUAGAGCUGGAGUACGGUAGAGGGGGAUGGAAUUCCGCGUGUAGCAGUGAAAUGCGUAGAUAUGCGGAGGAACACCGAUGGCGAAGGCAAUCCCCUGGACCUGUACUGACGCUCAUGCACGAAAGCGUGGGGAGCAAACAGG
rnacentral:rRNA from 1 species